rnacentral:rRNA from 1 species
AUUGAACGCUGGCGGCAUGCUUUACACAUGCAAGUCGAACGGUAACAGGCCGCAAGGUGCUGACGAGUGGCGGACGGGUGAGUAAUGCAUCGGAACGUGCCCAGUCGUGGGGGAUAACUACUCGAAAGAGUAGCUAAUACCGCAUACGAUCUAUGGAUGAAAGCGGGGGACCGUAAGGCCUCGCGCGAUUGGAGCGGCAGAUGUCAGAUUAGGUAGUUGGUGGGGUAAAGGCUCACCAAGCCAACGAUCUGUAGCUGGUCUGAGAGGACGACCAGCCACACUGGGAGUGAGACACGGCCCAGACUCCUACGGGAGGCAGCAGUGGGGAAUGUUGGACAAUGGGCGCAAGCCUGAUCCAGCAAUGCGGCGUGCAGGAAGAAGGCCUUCGGGUUGUAAACUGCUUUUGUACGGAACGAAACGGCUCUGGUUAAUACCCGGGGCUAAUGACGGUACCGUAAGAAUAAGCACCGGCUAACUACGUG